rnacentral:rRNA from 1 species
CCUGGCGGCACUAGCGCGGUGGUCCCACCUGACCCCAUGCCGAACUCAGAAGUGAAACGCCGUAGCGCCGAUGGUAGUGUGGAAGAUGUGCGAUUGAGACUUCAGUGUCCCCUUCG